CUGAUCACGGUGGUCUGGUUGCUCUCUACAACUUUGAGAAGAAACAUGCUUACCAGCUGCUGCUAAACUGCCUCAAGCACAUUGAUAAAGGAUAUGACAAGCGCAAGCUAUUGUGGUCGUCCUUCGAGAACCAGCAGUUCUACACUGUCGAUGUGCAAGUGCCGGGUCUCUCGUCGCUGGAUCA